ACGAACGCUGGCGGCGUGCUUAACACAUGCAAGUCGAACGGAAAGGCCCUGCUUUUGUGGGGUGCUCGAGUGGCGAACGGGUGAGUAACACGUGAGUAACCUGCCCUUGACUUUGGGAUAACUUCAGGAAACUGGGGCUAAUACCGGAUAGGAGCUCCUGCUGCAUGGUGGGGGUUGGAAAGUUUCGGCGGUUGGGGAUGGACUCGCGGCUUAUCAGCUUGUUGGUGGGGUAGUGGCUUACCAAGGCUUUGACGGGUAGCCGGCCUGAGAGGGUGACCGGCCACAUUGGGACGGAGAUACGGCCCAGACUCCUACGGGAGGCAGCAGUGGGGAAUAUGCACAUUGGGCGGAAGCCUGAUGCAGCAACGCCGCGUGCGGGAUGACGGCCUUCGGGUUGUAAACCGCUUUCGCCUGUGACGAAGCGUGAGUGACGGUAAUGGGUAAAGAAGCACCGGCUAACUACGUG
rnacentral:rRNA from 1 species